GUGAAGAGCCACUGUCACUUUGAGAAACUCAGUGUGCUCAAUGCAGGCUAACUGCUCGAAUUACGCUGCAUGGGAUGAUGAAAUGGGGUCUCCGCUCCGUUUCGUUGGUUUACGAAAGCAGAGAACAUGAUUAAUCGGGACAGACGGGGGCAUUCGUAUUGCGGUGCUAGAAGUGAAAUUCUGUGACCAUCGCAAGACGAACAACUGCGAAAGCAUUUGCCAAGAAUGUUUUCGUUAAUCACGAACGAAAGUUAGAGGAUCGAAGACGAUUAGAUACCGUCCUAGUUCUAACGGUAAACUGUGCCGGCCAGGAAUUCGCCAACGCAAUAACUUGGCGAGCGCUUUCCGGGAAACCAAAGCUAUUUGGUUCCGGGGAGAGUAUGGUUGCAAAAUCGAAACUUAAAGGAAUUGACGGAGGGGCACACCAGGAGUGGAGCCUGCGGCUCAAUUUGACUCAACGCACGAAAGCUUACUCGGUCCGAACACUGUGAGGAUUGACAGGCUGAAAGCUCUUUCUUGAUUCAGUGGGUAGCGGUGCAUGGCCGUUCGUAGUCCGUGAAGCGAUUUGUCUGGUUGAUUCCGAUAACGAACGAGACUCGGCCUACUAAUUAAAGUAGCGAUCUGCCGUCGCUACAAUGAUUAUUAAAGGGACAGGUGCUUUCUAAGCACACGAAGUUGAGCAAUAACAGGUCUGUGAUGCCCUUCGAAGUUCGAGGCUGCACGCGCGCUACAAUGGCGGCCACAGAGCGCACAACGCUUCCUGUAACGGAUGCGGAAACGUCAAUGGCUUUCGUGACUGGGAUCAGGGACUGAAACUUUUAUUUGU
rnacentral:rRNA from 1 species